UAAUCAAUGAGUUGAUGAAUAAAGGUUAC
rnacentral:piRNA from 1 species